UAAGGAAUAUUGGACAAUGCCCGCAAGGGUGAUCCAGCCAUGCCGCGUGCAGGAAGACGGCCCUAUGGGUUGUAAACUGCUUUUACACCGGAGAAAACCUCCCCUCGUGAGGGGAGCUGAUAGUAUGGUGAGAAUAAGCAUCGGCUAACUUCGUGCCAGCAGCCGCGGUAAGACGAAGGAUGCAAGCGUUAUCCGGAUUCAUUGGGUUUAAAGGGAGCGUAGGUGGACUGAUAAGUCAGUGGUGAAAUCUUCGAGCUUAACUCGGAAAUUGCCAUUGAUACUGUUGGUCUUGAGUACAGUUGCUGUGGGCGGAAUAUGACAUGUAGUGGUGAAAUACAUAGAGAUGUCAUAGAACACCGAUUGCGAAGGCAGCUCACAAAGCUGUAACUGACACUGAGGCUCGAAAGUGCGGGGAUCAAACAGG
rnacentral:rRNA from 1 species